GAUCCUUCGAUGUCGGCUCU
rnacentral:ncRNA from 3 species